GUGGAGGUAGCUCAAUGGUAGAGUGCUUGCCUAGGAAGCAUGAGGCCCUGGGUUCAAUCGCCAGUCCCACA
rnacentral:tRNA from 1 species